ACCCUCAGGGGGACAGGGCUCUGAGCAGAAACCCAACAAUAAGACUCAGAUCCAGAGAGUUGUGUGAAUCCAUCUCUGUUACAGAGAUUGUGUUUAUUCUCUAAUCCUAAAUACAAGAUGAUUCCGGCUUUCUCGGCUGAAUUCGAUUGAUAACACACAACAUGAUUUGAUAGGAUCUGACAUUGACUGACUAAAUACCAUACAACUAAAUGUGACAUCAGCAAUAUGACAGGCUCAUUUUCUCCCCCCUCGCUCCCUCUCUCCCCCCUCUCUCUCUCUCCUUCGCUCUCUCUCUUUCUUUGAUACCUCAUGAUAUCAUGAGGCCUAGCUGCUACCUGUGAGAAAGUAAACACAGCCUCUGUACCCACCACACACACACCUCCCAUUCCUCUCAAGGCUGUUCCUGUUUCAAAGCGAUGUGAGGCCUUGCUUGUCAUUCUUUCCCAGUUAAUCAGUGUCUCCAGACAAAGACCCCCCACCUCAACCCCCCCACCCCACCACCAUCUACACCAGCCUAGUCUGGCCCUUCUCGCCUAGGAGAGAGAAAAAUAAUCGGUGUGUUCUCUAUCUAUUGAGCGCCGGGGGCCAGGCCAACAGCGUGUGAAUCACAGCUCAGAGCCCAUGGCUGACGGAUUGGAGCAUCGAUCUGAAAAAUCUUUACAAAACUCAUUACAGCACGACUUGUCAUCAGAGGAGCAGGGGAUAGAGGGAUAGAGGGGAGGGAGCGAUGAGAGAUGCACAUAUUUAUCUGUAUUUCACUGCUCAUGUGUCAGCUGACGUCUGUUUGCAUAUAUACGUCUCACAGGUUUCAACUGUUAUACCUCACUGGUUUAAUAGACAUGCACACUGAUCUGAACCGGAAAUAUUACAGGCUACGAUGAGGGCCACCUGUUGAAUAUACACUAGAAUGGAUGCUUCUAUUUGAAUAGCCUGUUUAAUGGAUAUCUCUAUAGUAACUAUCAGUGAUACAGGCUGCUGAAUUGUUUACUGUUAUGUGACCGGAGCACGAUCUCUCUCCAUCGAUCGACUUAUUACCUUCUCCUGUUAUUCACCACACUUGAGCCACCGUAGAAUCACAGUCUCUUGUUAACAAGACAGAGUGGUGGAUGCUCUGCACAGAUGGGUGGAUACCCCCACCUACCACAGGGCCAGAGCUUACCUGACAUAUUACCAACAAUGCACCCCUCUGUGGUCCCAGACAGGCCCCAUAAUGCACUGCUCCUGUCCUGUUAGAGGUGUAUGUUGUAUGAUAGAUCAGCAGGAUUCACAGAUGGAAUACGUCCCGAAUGGCAACCUAUUCCCUAUUUAGUCCACUACUUUUGAACAAGGGCCCAUAUGGGUCUAGUCAAAAGUAGUGCACUUUAAAGGAGGUAGGGUUCCAUUUGGGAUGCAAAUGUUGACUUCCCUCUCAGGGGGUUGAUUUCCCUCCAAACUCCAACACUAUAUCUCACCUUCCUACGUUCUAUGGAUCUCUAUUUACAAUACAUCAUUCAUUACUAUUUAAUGCACUGCAUUUGGCGGUAUAGAUUACUAGUGCAUUCUGGGUCUGUACACGCUCCCAUGUUACAGAACUCUCAUAUUCCACACUAGAAUAGUAUCCAGGAAAUCAAUAUCUCACCUUCAAAAACAAAACGUAUUUGAUCAAAAAAAUCCUCAAAAUCUUGCUCAGAGCUAUCAGAAGUUUGAUUUCUCUACCUCACAUCCAAGUGAGGACAGUUCUUCCCCCUUACACAGGGCCUUUGAGAUUGUUCCCUCUCUCAGGAUUUCCAUAAUGUUCUCCUGCACAAUGAUAAUGGAAAAAAUGGAAGGAUUGAAAUUUGAUCCAAUGAAUCCAAUCAGAUUUUCCCAUCUCGCCUUGCUGUUGAAUAACUGUAGCCUUUUGAAAAUAACAACUACUGUAAAUAUUGAACAGUAAACCAACAAGAAUAUUGCGCUGCUUCUGAAAAUGAAUAAAGGAUGAAAACUAUGAAGAUCAGUGCUCACUAUGAUGGUAUAGCGAGUUCUGGACCCAUAGAAAUGUCAUUAGUUUGAAGAUUAUCCUGACUAUCUGACCUUUCAAUGAAUGACAAGUCUUCUGACAUUACACUUGGUGUUAAAGAUCCUAUUGGAUUUUAUCUUACUGAUUUGAACAGUAAUUGCAUUUCGAAAAUGGUCUCCAUUUCUUGUGGCCUCAGAUCAGGAUGCCCUAAGUCCCUGCGAAGAUUCUUUGUCCUGAGGCUUUAUAGUACAGACCCAUCUACCAGAGCCCAGUUAAAGGUCUAAGACCACGGCUAACAGUGGCACACUAGCACACACACACACACACACACACACACACACACACACACACACACACACACACACACACACACACACACACACACACACACACACACACACACACACACACACACACACACACACUAGUGGUUAGCUAACAAGGAGCUCACUAAUUAAUGAAACAGAGUCCGACACAUUCCUGUGGGAACACAACACAAUUACCACAGACCCUUACAUCCACAGUAUCUAUUACCAGAGACCCUUACAGCCACACCAUCUAUUGACACAGACCUUUACAGCCACAUUAUCUAUUACUACAGACUCUUACAGCCACACCAUCUAUUACCACAGACCCUUACAGCAGCAUUGUCUAUUACCACAGACCCUUACAGACCCUUACAGCCACAACAUCUAUUCACACAGACCCUCACAGCCUCACCAUCUACUGACACAGACCGUUACAGCAACAUUGUCUAAUACAACAGACCAUUACAGAACCUUACAUCCACAUGGUCUAUUACCACAGACCCUCACAGCCACACCAUCUAUUACCACAGACCCUUACAGCAACAUUGAUGAUGCUGUUAAACACCGCCCCAGACCAUAACGGACCCUCCACCUCCAAAUCGAUCCCGCUCCAGGCCUGCAGGCCUCGGUGUUACGCUCAUUCCUUCGAAGAUAAAAGUGAAUCCAACCAUCACCCCUGGUGAGACAAAACCGCGACUCGUCAGGGAAGAGCCCUUUUUGCCAGUCCUGUCUGGUCCAGCGAUGUUGGGUUUGUGCCCAAAGGCGACGUUGUUGCCGGUGAUGUCUGGUGAGGACCUGCCUUACAACAGGCCUGCAAGCCCUCAGUCUGGCCUCUCUCAGCCUAUUGCAGACAGUCUGAGCACUGAUGGAGGGAUUGUGCGUUCCUGGUGUAACCCUGGCAGUUGUUGUUGCCAUCCUGUACCUGUCCCGCAUGUGUGAUUUUCUGAUGUACUGAUCUUGUGCAGGUGUUGUUACACGUGGUCUGCCACUGCGAGGACGAUCAGCUGUCCAUCCUGUCUCCCUGUAGCGCUGUCUUAGGCGUCUCACAGUACGGACAUUGCAAUUUAUUGCCCUGACCACAUCUGCAGUCCCCAUUUCUCCUUGCAGCAUGCAUAAGGCAUGUUCACGCAAAUGAGCAGGACCCCUGGGCAUCUUUCUUUUGGUGUUUUUCAGAGUCAGUAGAAAUGCCUCUUUAGUGUCCUAAGUUUUCAUAGCUGUGACCCAAUUGCCUACCGUCUGUAAGCUGUUAGUGUCUUAACGACCGUUCCAAAGGUGCAUGUUCAUUAAAUGUUUAUUGUUCAUUGAACAAGCAUGAAACAGUGUUUAAACCCUUUACAAUGAAGAUCUGUGAAGUUUCUUGGAUUUUUGCGAAUUAUCGUUGAAAGACAGGGUCCUGAAAAAGGGACUUUUAUUUUGACAAGUUUAUUUUAGUUAAAGAGCAGAUGGAUGAACUCAUUAUAGUGGGCAGGUCCAUCCUGGUUAUUUAUCUACCUGGGGUUAUUAUAUCAUACUGUGUCUGAUGGUUAUUUAUCUACCUGGGGUUAUUAUAUCAUACUGUGUCUGAUGGUUAUUUAUCUACCUGGGGUUAUUAUAUCAUACUGUGUCUGAUGGUUAUUUAUCUACCUGGGGUUAUUAUAUCAUACUGUGUCUGAUGGUUAUUUAUCUACCUGGGGUUAUUAUAUCAUACUGUGUCUGUAAUUAUUUAUCUACCGGGGGUUAUUAUAUAAUACUGUGUCUGUAAUGAUUUAUCUACCGGGCGUUAUUAUAUCAUACUGUGUCUGUAGUUAUUUAUCUACCUGGGUUUAUUAUAUAAUACUGUGUCUGUAGUUAUUUAUCUACCGGGGGUUAUUAUAUAAUACUGUGUCUGUAGUUAUUUAUCUACCUGGGGUUAUUAUAUCAUACUGUGUCUGUAGUUAUUUAUCUACCGGGGGUUAUUAUAUAAUACUGUGUCUGUAUUUUUUUAUCUCCUGGGGGUUAUUAUAUAAUACUGUGUCUGUAGUUAUUUAUCUACCUGGGGUUAUUAUAUCAUACUGUGUCUGUAGUUAUUUAUCUACCUGGGGUUAUUAUAUAAUACUGUGUCUGUAGUUAUUUAUCUACCGGGGGUUAUUAUAUCAUACUGUGUCUGUAGUUAUUUAUCUACCUGGGGUUAUUAUAUAAUACUGUGUCUGUAGUUAUUUAUCUACGGGGGGUUAUUAUAUAAUACUGUGUCUGUAGUUAUUUAUCUACCGGGGGUUAUUAUAUAAUACUGUGUCUGUAGUUAUUUAUCUACCUGGGGUUAUUAUAUCAUACUGUGUCUGUAGUUAUUUAUCUACCGGGGGUUAUUAUAUAAUACUGUGUCUGUAUUUUUUUAUCUCCUGGGGGUUAUUAUAUAAUACUGUGUCUGUAGUUAUUUAUCUACCUGGGGUUAUUAUAUCAUACUGUGUCUGUAGUUAUUUAUCUACCUGGGGUUAUUAUAUAAUACUGUGUCUGUAGUUAUUUAUCUACCGG